rnacentral:lncRNA from 1 species
AGAAAGCACACAAACAAAAUAUUAAUACUGACUUCAAAGAUAAUCUGGUCUGGAUUUUAUCACCAGGUUAUGUGUACAGAAAGUUGCUGACUCUGCAGGUGACCUCAUAAAUUUGUUCAACAGAUGUAAACAAGUCCAGAGGCAAUUAGGGGAUUGCAUGUCAAUUCCAGAGGCAAUUAGGGGAUUACAUGUAGCUAUUCAUUUAGCAAGAAAUGAAAUACUUUUUUUUUACAAGAAAUCACAGAAAUUAAAAAAAAAAAAAAA